GAUGAAGAACGCAGCGAAAUGCGAUAAGUAAUGUGAAUUGCAGAAUUCAGUGAAUCAUCGAGUCUUUGAACGCACAUUGCGCCCCCUGGUAUUCCGGGGGGCAUGCCUGUCCGAGCGUCAUUGCUGCCCUCAAGCACGGCUUGUGUGUUGGGCCUCCGUCCUCCUCCCGGGGGACGGGCCCGAAAGGCAUCGGCGGCACCGCGUCCGGUCCUCGAGCGUAUGGGGCUUCGUCACCCGCUCUUGUAGGCCCGGCCGGCGCUUGCCGACACAUCAAUCUUUUUUCCAGGUUGACCUCGGAUCAGGUAGGGAUACCCGCUGAACUUAAGCAUAUCAAUAAGCGGAGGA
rnacentral:misc_RNA from 1 species